ACGGAAGGCAGCAGUGGGGAAUAUUGGGCAAUGGGCGAAAGCCUGACCCAGCAACGCCGCGUGAGGGAAGAAGGUUUUCGGAUUGUAGACCUCUGUCCUUGGUGACGAAGGAAGUGACGGUAGCCAAGGAGGAAGCCCCGGCUAACUACGUGCCAGCAGCCGCGGUAAUACGUAGGGGGCGAGCGUUGUCCGGAAUGACUGGGCGUAAAGGGCGUGUAGGCGGCAUUGUAAGUCUGGAGUGAAAGUCCUGCUUUCAAGGCGGGAAUUGCUUUGGAGACUGCAGAGCUUGAGUGCAGAAGAGGUAAGCGGAAUUCCCUGUGUAGCGGUGAAAUGCGUAGAGAUAGGGAGGAACACCAGUGGCGAAGGCGGCUUACUGGACUGUAACUGACGCUGAGGCGCGAAAGCGUGGGGAGCGAACAGGAUUAGAUACCCUGGUA
rnacentral:rRNA from 1 species